rnacentral:tRNA from 1 species
GCUGAGAUGCCCGAGUGGUCUAAGGGGGACGUCUUAAGAACGUCUGGCGCAAGCCUCACGGGUUCGAACCCCGUUCUCAGCA